rnacentral:misc_RNA from 1 species
UACGUAGGGGGCGAGCGUUGUCCGGAUUUAUUGGGCGUAAAGCGCGCGUAGGCGGCUUGGUAAGUCGGGUGUGAAAGCUCCGAGCUCAACUCGGAGAGGCCACUCGAUACUGCCAUGGCUAGAGUCCGGUAGAGGAGUGUGGAAUUCCCGGUGUAGCGGUGAAAUGCGCAGAUAUCGGGAGGAACACCGAUGGCGAAGGCAGCACUCUGGGCCGGUACUGACGCUGAGGUGCGAAAGCGUGGGGAGCAAACAGG